AUACGUAGGGGGCAAGCGUUGUCCGGAAUUACUGGGCGUAAAGAGCGUGUAGGCGGAUUUUUAAGUCAGGUGUGAAAACUUUGGGCUCAACCCAGAGACUGCAUCUGAUACUGGAAGUCUUGAGUGCAGGAGAGGAGAGUGGAAUUCCUAGUGUAGCGGUGAAAUGCGUAGAUAUUAGGAGGAACACCAGUGGCGAAGGCGACUCUCUGGACUGUAACUGACGCUGAGACGCGAAAGCGUGGGGAGC
rnacentral:rRNA from 1 species